rnacentral:tRNA from 1 species
GGACGCGUAGCUCAGUGGUUAGAGCGUUCGGUUCACAUCCGAAAGGUCAGAGGUUCAACCCCUCUCGCGUCCA